UACGUAGGGUGCGAGCGUUAAUCGGAAUUACUGGGCGUAAAGCGUGCGCAGGCGGCGCGUUAAGACAGGUGUGAAAGCCCCGAGCUUAACUUGGGAAUUGCGCUUGUGACUGGCGUGCUGGAGUGUGGGCAGAGGGGAGGUGGAAUUCCACGUGUAGCAGUGAAAUUCGUAGAUAUUGGGAAGAACACCGGUGGCGAAGGCGGCUACUCUGGACCGAGACGUGACGCUGAGGCGCGAAAGCGUGGGGAGCAACAGG
rnacentral:rRNA from 1 species